UACGGAGGAUGCAAGCGUUAUCUGGAAUCAUUGGGUUUAAAGGGUGCGUAGGCGGGAUUGUAAGUCAGUGGUGAAAUUUCCGGGCUUAACCUGGGCGCUGCCAUUGAUACUGCAGUUCUUGAGUAUAGUUGAUGUUGGCGGAAUGUGUCAUGUAGCGGUGAAAUGCAUAGAUAUGACACAGAACACCGAUAGCGAAGGCAGCUGACAAAACUAUAACUGACGCUGAUAUCAGGAGGAACACCAGUGGCGA
rnacentral:rRNA from 1 species